rnacentral:misc_RNA from 1 species
GUAGCAGAUCAUAAUUCACCGUCGAAGCUCAGGUACUUUGAGCUCCUGAACUGAUCAGGGUCAAGAAGAACGCACAGAGAAUAUGAUUUUAGGCGGAAUAGAGGACGAAGACAAAUGGCUUGCCGAAGGAAUUGCCGCCAUUCAACACAACGCCUUCUACAUGCAUCGCGCUUUGGAUGCUAACAAUCUUAGAGAAGCUCUCAAAUACUCUGCUCAGAUGCUGUCGGAGCUCCGAACUUCGAAACUCUCCCCUCACAAAUACUACGAACUAUAUAUGAGAGCUUUCGAUGAAUUGAGAAGGCUGGAAAUAUUCUUUAAGGACGAGAGCAGACAUGGCGUUUCGGUCGUUGAUUUAUAUGAGCUCGUGCAGCAUGCUGGAAAUAUAUUACCUAGACUGUAUCUGCUGUGUACGGUAGGAUCAGUGUAUA